rnacentral:rRNA from 1 species
CCCCUAGACGUUCUGGGCUGCACGCGCGCUACAAUAAUACGCACAGCGAGUAUCACCGAGCUCGAAAGGGCAAGGUAAACAAUAGAAAAGGUACUGUAAUGGUUAUAGAUCCUUGUAAUUAUUGAUCUUCAACGAGGAAUUCCUAGUAAGUAUGUGUCAUCAUCACGCACUGAUUACGUCCCUGCCCUUUGUACACACCGCCCGUCGCUCCUACCGAUUGGGUGAGGCGAUGAAACUCUCGGAUGUAGGCUAUUCAUAGCCCGCAGAAGAGAUUUGAAUCGUAGCGCUUAGAGGAAGGAGAAGUCGUAACA